UACGAAGGGGGCGAGCGUUGUUCGGAAUUACUGGGCGUAAAGGGCGCGUAGGCGGCCGAUCAAGUCAGAUGUGAAAGUCCUGGGCUUAACCUGGGGACUGCAUUUGAUACUGAUUGGCUUGAAUUCGGGAGAGGAUAGCGGAAUUCCCAGUGUAGAGGUGAAAUGCGUAGAUAUCUGGAGGAACACCGGUGGCGAAGGCGGCAUCCUGGACCGGCAUUGACGCUGAGGAGCGAAAGCCAGGGGAGCAAACGGG
rnacentral:rRNA from 1 species